CCUACGGGAGGCAGCAGUGAGGAAUAUUGGUCAAUGGACGAGAGUCUGAACCAGCCAAGUAGCGUGAAGGAUGACUGCCCUAUGGGUUGUAAACUUCUUUUAUAAAGGAAUAAAACGAGGCACGUGUGCCUUUUUGCAUGUACUUUAUGAAUAAGGAUCGGCUAACUCCGUGCCAGCAGCCGCGGUAAUACGGAGGAUCCGAGCGUUAUCCGGAUUUAUUGGGGUGAAAGGGAGCGUAGAUGGGUUGGUAAGUCAGUUGUGAAAGUUUGCGGCUCAACCGUAAAAUUGCAAUUGAUACUGGCAGUCGUGAGUACAGUUGAGGUAGGCGGAAUUCGUGGUGUAGCGGUGAAAUGCUUAGAUAUCACGAAGAACCCCGAUUGCGAAGGCAGCUUACUAAACUGUGACUGACAUUGAUGCUCGAAAGUGUGGGUAUCAAACAGGAUUAGAUACCCGGGUAGUC
rnacentral:rRNA from 1 species